rnacentral:lncRNA from 1 species
ACACACAGGGGCACUCAAUGCUUAAAUGAAGAUAGAAAGGUUAGCAAUAACUGGGUAUCAAUUAGAAUUUGAGAAUUCUAUAUGUUUACAUUUUUUAAUGUGCAUCUUUAUCUGGUGGGCUUCCCAUGUGGAAACUUGCACUAUAAUGAACUAAGAAGAAUAUUGCCUUGUUAUAUCUCAGUCCAAGUGCUUGUACUGCGAUGGCAAUGGCCUCUUCUUGCAAAAUACUAAUUUGUGUGCCAAUUUGUUUGAAAUUAUUUGAAGGCAGUCAGCUUAAUCUCAGAAUCCUCUUUCUGGGGUAGUUGAGAUGGAUUCUCAAUGUUUUUGAAAGUACCUUUAAAUGAGAGAGUUGUCAAAAUUGGGGAAAGAUUUACUGGCCCUCAGAUUACAUGGACAGUUAAGCUUAAGCAAACUACCUUGACUAUUAAACACAAGAGCUUUAAUUGGAAAACCUGAGGAUAAAAAAUAAACGUAUAGGAAGACAGAUCAAGGGAAAAGUGAAAAAGGUUGAAGGAGAAAAGUGAAAAGAUUCAUUGUCCAUGGGGGAAAAAUGAGUAAAAGUUCAUUAGAUUCCUUAAAUACAAAAGUGUGUAUUUUGAAUACAUCUUAAAGUAUACCCACUUACUGAUAAUUAUAAACUAAGUGAUUUCUUGUACUCAGAAGUGGAGUAUAGACCUAACAAAAACUAACUUUUAAAUUUCCCACCGUUACUUAGGGUUUGCCCGAAAGUUAACACCAAAGAGUUAUAGACAGUGUGCUUGUGCUUAACUGUCCAUUUUUUGUUUUAAAUCAGAUAUGAGCAGGGCAGGGAGAUAUAUAUAUAUAACAAUGCCUAAGUAUGAAUGCUAAAAGGAAAAUAAAGCAAAGAAGGUCUGAUUAAAUCUAAUGUUACAUGAAAUUAAGUAUCUGGGGUUAGCGAGGAAAACUUGAAAAGAAUAAAAGAGGAUACCAAGAAGUUAAGCUGGACUAGCCGUAUUUGCAAGUGAAGGAUCUGGUGCUGCUUUCAGAUGUUUAUCCUUUGUGUUUUUAAAUUUUUUCUUAAGCUUUAAUCUUCGUCAUUGUCUUAAAGUCAGCUGGUGUUUCUUGUUCAUGGACUUUGGUACGAUGGUGCUUUGCAAGGAUGUAUUUAUAUUUUAAUGGCCAACAUUUGGUCAGCCCUUGUCCACUAUUCACUUCCCUCUUUUUGUAAAAUAAGUGCUUUAAUUGUAAACUGUAUAAAAAUACCUUGUAUAAAUCCCCUUUUUGAUUAUUACAAUAAGCUGAGUUGUAACAAAUGAAAUGUUGAUUUUUAUAAUAAAACAGUGGAAAAAUAAAAGUGUCAUUUUUUUCAGCAAGAAAUUAAAUCAGCUUAUUGUGCUUUGCUGUGAUAUACGACUGGUGUGUUUCAGACACGACAAAACUG